rnacentral:rRNA from 1 species
GACGUAGGGCGCGAGCGUUGUCCGGAUUUAUUGGGCGUAAAGAGCUCGUAGGCGGCUUGUCGCGUCGUCCGUGAAAACCUGCGGCUCAACUGCAGGCUUGCGGUCGAUACGGGCAGGCUGGAGUUUGGUAGGGGAGACUGGAAUUCCUGGUGUAGCGGUGAAAUGCGCAGAUAUCAGGAGGAACACCGGUGGCGAAGGCGGGUCUCUGGGCCGAUACUGACGCUGAGGAGCGAAAGCGUGGGGAGCGAACAGG